rnacentral:lncRNA from 1 species
AUGGGGAGUGGAGCGGCGUCCGCUGUCGUGACUCGUCAGGGAGUGGUGGAAUCGCACAGGAUCCACCGCAGGGAGUGGAGCAGAAUCAUGACCGUUAAUACGGCCUGCCAGGGAGUAAUGGAGCUGCGUAGGGUCUGCCGCAGGGAGUGGAGCAGUGUUGUCCGUUACUGUGGCCUGCCAGGGGGUCCAGACUUGUCGGCCGAAGUUCGGUUGGAGUUGGUAGCGAGGUCCGGUAUCCGUAGGAGUUUGGACGAGGUCUUCCCGCAGUCGGACUAGAAGAUGGAGUCUGGCUUCCAUAGGAGUCCGGACGAAGUCUACUUGCAGUUGGGGUCGUGGGCGGAGUCCGGCUCCCGUAGGAGUCCGGAUGAAGUCUGUCUGCAGCCGUUGGAGUCGAGGAUGGAGCC